UCAGGAUGAAAGUCACACUAUCUUCUCUUCCAAAAGACGCAGUGAUCAUGGUUGUUUGAACAUUUAAUUGUCAAAACAAAUUUUCUUGGUGCUACUUAAAUAGAUGUUUAUAUGGUACAGGCUGUAUAAACCAUAUUAUUGCUGCCAUCCCAUAUUAUUGUCGAUUUGGAUUUCCAAUCACAGGUGAAGAGAUGUAUCCAUUUCUGACCCACUGUUAAAUGUGUAAAAUCUUGUUAGUGAACUCUGGAUAAUUUAGUAAAGGUUGAGACGUUGAGAUACAUCAGUCGGAUAAAGUCCACGACUUUGUCAUUCCAUUUGGAAGUCAAGUGUGAGAGAGAGGGCUUGCACAUAUUUGGGAUUCUGGGGAAGGGGUCAAAUUUAGUGAAGAAAUCAAUAACCCUUGGUCUGCUUACGUUGAUCUCCCUAAGAAAUUGGCCAAAGCAUAGAGGGUAUACAUUAGACAAUUUCAAAUGGCUUUUAGAGGCAAUUUUAAGUUUCAAUUACAAUGGUAAUACCAGCAUGACUGAAAACAGACUAUGUACUUGUCAAAAAAAAUUAAGAAAGAAAGAAAAACAAAAAUAACUCCAAUCCUCUCUGAUAGUUGGCAUUUUCCUUCAAUGUUACAGAUUUU
rnacentral:lncRNA from 1 species